rnacentral:lncRNA from 1 species
CAAAAGCAAUCUACUUCUCAAAAUCCAAAUGAAAUGUUAUUCAAUGACAAGUUUAAAUGCCAGAUCCUUCACCUAUAAUACACAUUUUCCAGCUGCCACUAUCAAAGCAGUUACAGCUUUUUGCUGUAUAGUUUUCUACAGCAAGCCCUGAAGAGGGAGAAAAUACAGUAAGCUUCUUUGUUACAAAAUAAUUUCAUAUCAACUCUGCUGACAGUUGUAUUUUCCUUCUACCAGAGACUGCUGUCUACAUUAAGAGAAACUGUUGAAGUUCAAUUUUGCCUUAUCAGAGAGAUCUUUGUUCAUGAGCAGCUUAAGGCAAUAAACCAGACUGAACAAAGAUAAAUGAUAUGCCAACACAUGGCCUGUUUUGCUAAUGGAUAUAUAACCUGUAUCAGAGAGGCACAGCAGAGUUGCUGGGGAACCUAAUCCAUUGAGGUGUCUGGAAAAUGUGGCAGAGCUUAUCUGUUGGAGGUCUAAGCUGAAAGCUGGAAUCCAGUAGCUUUGAUGUAAGAGGUAGAUGUCUUGGUUAGAGCUUCACUGAGCUGGUUCAGCAUUUUGUAGGUGGUUUGUAGCAUCAUGCUGUGAUGCAAAUGAAGAUUCUUUAAGCAAAAGGGACAGACCCCUAAAAAUCUUUAUUCUCUUGCCCUGAUGGGACCUGAUCAAUAGCUCGGAAGUUGACUCCAAUGAGUUUUGGCUUACGUCCUAAUGCAGCUACACAUAUGUAUUGGUGGUGGGAGAUGCAUGGGGAAAUGGCAGUACGAUACUACUUGCUACUUCAUCAGAAAGAAUUAACAUUUCUUAGACUUCAUUUUGAUGGCAGGAAUAAAUUUUCUAAUUCACAGCAUUAUGGGGAAAGAGAAGAUAUGCAGCAUGUGAAGAGAAACGCUCUUAUUUUCGACACGGAAGAAAGCAAAUACAUUGUUUCAGAAGCUACAAAGUAUUCAUUAAGUCCUCAG